AGUACACGCCAGGCUCUCGGUGGCGACCGCGUGCUUGCUUGGGCGAGAGAGAAUGCGGCAUUGUUGCGCGCGCUCUUGCCUGUGCUGCCCUUCGCAGCAUACUCUCGGCGGUACGCGUCCACCGCACCAACACAGCCACACACUCAAAGAGUGCCGCUCAAAAAGUGAGAGAAAUCGUGCAACGCGCUUGGGGGAAAACGACGCGCAUGCAACAUAACACAGCCAAAGACAGCUUCUUCCCAAAACGACAGCUGAUUGAAAUCGGAGAGAACGAUGCAACGAAACUCCCCUUUCUACCCUUUGGAUAUAUUAGUAUGUGUGUAUGUGUGUGUGUGUAAAAAGAUGCUGAUGCACAGGUGUGUGCUGACGAAGCAUACAUACGACGGGAAACUCGAAGCGCCGGGGGAGAUGCUGCUGGUGGUGCAGAGGAAACGGAGCCUUGGAUGCACCUUUCUCCAGCUCCACGCGAACUGCACGUUGUGUGGGUACGUGGCAACACAACGUGCCCCGUGUUGGGGUGAGGAAUGCAUGUACUGCUAGUAGAUGUAACCAUUUAAUGAUGGUUUUACGAUGGAAAUGGAAAAGAACCAAUUGCAUGUGAAUUUUGUUUUCAAUAUUAAUGUAGCAUGUUUUAUUACACACAAGCAAGCCUUUGAGAAUAGGAAA